UUAUGAGAGUUUGAUCCUGGCUCAGGACGAACGCUGGCGGCGUGCCUAAUACAUGCAAGUCGAACGCUUCUUUUUCCAMCGGAGCUUGCUCCACCGGAAAAAGARGAGUGGCGAACGGGUGAGUAACACGUGGGUAACCUGCCCAUCAGAAGGGGAUAACACUUGGAAACAGGUGCUAAUACCGUAUAACAAUCAAAACCGCAUGGUUUUGAUUUGAAAGGCGCUUUCGGGUGUCGCUGAUGGAUGGACCCGCGGUGCAUUAGCUAGUUGGUGAGGUAACGGCUCACCAAGGCCACGAUGCAUAGCCGACCUGAGAGGGUGAUCGGCCACAUUGGGACUGAGACACGGCCCAAACUCCUACGGGAGGCAGCAGUAG
rnacentral:rRNA from 1 species